AUCAUGACGAGUCCCAAAUAGGACGAAAUGCGCAUCCUGGAU
rnacentral:hammerhead_ribozyme from 1 species